rnacentral:rRNA from 1 species
UACGUAGGGGGCAAGCGUUGUCCGGAAUUAUUGGGCGUAAAGAGCGCGUAGGCGGUCCGAUAAGUCGGCUGUGAAAGUCCAGGGCUCAACCCUGGAAAGCCGGCCGAUACUGUCGGACUAGAGUCCGGAAGAGGCGAGUGGAAUUCCCGGUGUAGCGGUGAAAUGCGCAGAUAUCGGGAGGAACACCCGUGGCUAAGGCGGCUCUCUAGUACGGUACUGACGCUGAGACGCGAAAGCGUGGGGAGCGAACCGG